rnacentral:sRNA from 1 species
AAAUAGCCCUGAUUGUAGUGGAAAGCUCCCGAUUUUUUUCGGGACUUGCAACGAAAAGCAGGAAAAUGG